ACAGCGUGCGAUGCUUGAACCGACGGUUGAGGUACGACGACAACGGCAUGGUGGCGGCGACCACCAGCAGAUAGAUGGUGGUGAUCCAUUGCACGGUUGCGGUAUCGACGUUGAAUUCCCGCAUAAGUUGCGGGAACAGUACCGUCAUGACGGUUUCGGUGAGAAUGCCAAUGAAGGCGAGGGAGCCGACCGCCACGAUGGCUCCAAUGAGUUUGCCGGGGAUGCGUUCGUCCGGCAUUUUCCUGACGUUUUCACUACUGUUUCGACUGAUAUGGCUGGUGGUUUCGAGCGUUGUAUUCCGUUCUUGCAUAAUCACUUUCCGCGCACUUUUUCCUGCGGCCAUGUGCGACGCCGCGAUUGACGCAUGGGCCUUGCUCAUAGCAAGCAGGCAUCAACCCCAACGAAGAAUUUUAGCGGACCCCUAGUCCAACGGCAACGAAGAAUGAGAACUGACACCACACUAGGCUCGAUCAGAGUUACCGGUUUGACCACCGUCCUUCUCAUGCAGGAUUUUGCGAAUUUUCUCCAGUCUCGGUUUGAUCUCAUGCUCGUAGCCGCGAUCGUUCGGAUGGUAGUAUUCCCGCCCUGCCAGCUCGUCCGGCAUGUAUUGCUGCGGAGCCACGGCUCCCGGCCAAUCAUGAGCGUACCGAUACCCCUCAUGAUUGCCCCAACUUUUCAUCAGGGCGGUCGGCGCAUUCCUUAGGUGCAAGGGUACCUGACCGAUCAAUCCCGCGUCCACAUCGGCGAGCGCGCUGUUGAUGGCGUUGUAGCUGGCGUUCGACUUCGGAGCGGUGGCAACGGCGAGCGCGGCUUCCGCGAGAAUGAUGCGCGCCUCGGGCAUGCCGAUCAUGGACACGGCUUGUGCCGCCGCGACGGUGACCUGCAGUAUCUGCGGAGCCGCCAUACCGACUUCCUCGGAAGCUGCGAUCAUAAUGCGCCGUGCGAUGAAUCGCGGAUCCUCGCCGGCGCGCAACAUCCGUGCCAAGUAGUGCAUGGUGGCGUCCGGGUCGGAUCCACGCAUGGAUUUGAUGAAUGCGGAAAUCACAUCGUAAUGGUCGUCGCCGUCUUUGUCAUAGCGCACGGUGGCCACAUCCAUGACCUGCGACACCACGUCAGACGUGAUGACAGGCCGUUUCGCACCUUUUUUGCGCGCUUGGUCUCCGGUAAGCGCCCCUGCGGCGGCUUCAAGGAUCGUCAAUGUUUUUCGCGCGUCACCUCCGGCCAUACGCACGAUUUCGUCGAUGGCCUCAUCGUUGAUUUUGACUUCGUUUUUAAGUCCACGCUCGCUUUCCACAGCCCGAUUGAUGAGCGUUUUCAGGUCGUCGGGUUCCAGCGAUUCGAGUUUGACGACCACGGAUCGGCUCAACAACGGCUUGAUGACGGAAAAGCUUGGAUUUUCCGUGGUGGCCGCAAUGAAAGUGACGUCACGGUUUUCCACGCUUGGCAGCAAUGCAUCCUGCUGCGAUUUGGAGAAUCGGUGCACCUCGUCGAUGAACAGUACCGUUUCCUUGCCCUCCGCGACAAGACGAUCAUGGGCGCGUCUGAGUACAUCCCGCACGUCCUUGACGCCGGAGGUGACUGCGGAAAGCUCUUCGAAGACUCGACCGGACUGUUUGGCCACAAUAUAGGCAAGCGUGGUCUUGCCGACUCCGGGAGGUCCAAACAGAAUAAUGGAGCUCGGCGCGGUCAGCGAGCCUUUGGACGCCGGAUUGGCGAGUCUGCGCAGAGGAGAGCCCUGUCCUAGCACCCGCGAUUGGCCCACCACUUCGUCCACGCUCGACGGACGCAUGCGCACGGCCAGCGGGCGUGUCAUAUCUUCGGGAGCGUCCAUCGCACCAAACAAAUCCUCAGUCAUAAUUUCUACUGUACCGCAACAUACGCAAUAAUUCGAACACACGUUCGACAUUUGAGUUCAUGCCAGCCGCUAGACUGGCAAUCAUGGCUGACGAUACGAAUUACGGUUCUUUGGGCGCCUUGGCGCCGAAUUGGAGCGAUGGCCUGCAGUAUUGGGUUUCUAACCUGCGGCCGUAAGCCGGUCGGGGGACAACGUCAGGCGGGGAGUUUGACUGGGGCGGUCGCCUCCGAAAGGGUAUCGGAGGCGCUCAAAGGUUCCCUCAGAAUGGUCGGAAACCAUUCGAAGAGUGCAAAGGCAGAAGGGAGCUUGACUGCGACACCGACGGGUGGAGCAGGUACGAAAGUAGGACUUAGUGAUCCGGUGGUAUAAAGUGGGAUUGCCAUCGCUCAACGGAUAAAAGCUACCCUGGGGAUAACAGGCUUAUCACUCCCAAGAGUUCACAUCGACGGAGUGGUUUGGCACCUCGAUGUCGGCUCAUCGCAUCCUGGGGCUGUAGUAGGUCCCAAGGGUUGGGCUGUUCGCCCAUUAAAGCGGUACGCGAGCUGGGUUCAGAACGUCGUGAGACAGUUCGGUCCCUAUCCGGCGCGGGCGUAGGAUAUCUGAAAGGAGCUGGCCUUAGUACGAGAGGACCGGGCUGGACGAACCGCUGGUUCACCUGUUGUCAUACCAAUGGCAUAGCAGGGUAGCCAAGUUUGGAAGGGAUAAACGCUGAAGGCAUCUAAGCGUGAAGCCCCCCUUAAGAUAAGAUAUCCCUGGAGUAAUCCAGUAAGACCCCUUGAAGACGACGAGGUAGAUAGGGCAGAGGUGGAAGUGUGGUAACACAUGUAGCUGACUGUCACUAAUAGGUCGAGGGCUUGACCA
rnacentral:rRNA from 1 species